rnacentral:rRNA from 1 species
AUGUACUCUUACCUAGAGAGAGAUCUUGCUGGUUGUGACUUUAGAUGGAUUUGGAGGGCUAGAUUACCUACCAAAAUCCAGAUUUUCCUUUGGCAACUCUUCCAGGAUGCCGUUCUGACUAGGGACGUUAUGAAGCGUCGGAACUGGGCUGGCAACCCCAGGUGUUCUUUCUGUGAUUGCAGAGAAACCUAUUUACAUCUGUUUUUUCGAUGCCCAGUGGCAAGGAUUGCCUGGCGCAUGGUUGGGGCGGUGUUUGGGACCGAUUUAUGUCCCAAUAACCUAUGUCAAUUUUGUUGGGUUUCGUAG